GAAAUGCGAUAAGUAAUGUGAAUUGCAGAAUUCAGUGAAUCAUCGAAUCUUUGAACGCACCUUGCGCUCCUUGGUAUUCCUUGGAGCAUGCCUGUUUGAGUAUCAUGAAAUCUUCAAAGUAAAUCUUUUGUUAACUCAAUUGGUUUCUACUUUGGUAUGGGAGGUCUUUGCAGCUUCACACCUGCUCCUCUUUGUUCAUUAGCUGGAUCUCAGUGUUAUGCUUGGUUCCACUCGGCGUGAUAAGUUAUCUAUCGCUGAGGACACUGUAAAAGGUGGCCAAGGUAAAUGCAGAUGAACCGCUUCUAAUAGUCCAUUGACUUGGACAAUACUUUUAUGAUCUGAUCUCAAAUCAGGUAGGACUACCCGCUGAACUUAAGC
rnacentral:misc_RNA from 1 species